AGGCCUACGGGACGCAGCAGUGGGGGAUAUUGCACAAUGGGGGGAACCCUGAUGCAGCGACGCCGCGUGGGUGAAGAAGCGCCUCGGCGCGUAAAGCCCUGUCAGCAGGGAAGAAAAUGACGGUACCUGUAGAAGAAGCCCCGGCUAACUACGUGCCAGCAGCCGCGGUAAUACGCAGGGGGCAAGCGUUAUCCGGAUUUACUGGGUGUAAAGGGGGCGCAGACGGCGCUG
rnacentral:rRNA from 1 species